rnacentral:rRNA from 1 species
AUUGAACGCUGGCGGCAGGCCUAACACAUGCAAGUCGAGCGGAUGAAGGGAGCUUGCUCCUGGAUUCAGCGGCGGACGGGUGAGUAAUGCCUAGGAAUCUGCCUGGUAGUGGGGGAUAACGUCCGGAAACGGGCGCUAAUACCGCAUACGUCCUGAGGGAGAAAGUGGGGGAUCUUCGGACCUCACGCUAUCAGAUGAGCCUAGGUCGGAUUAGCUAGUUGGUGGGGUAAAGGCCUACCAAGGCGACGAUCCGUAACUGGUCUGAGAGGAUGAUCAGUCACACUGGAACUGAGACACGGUCCAGACUCCUACGGGAGGCAGCAGUGGGGAAUAUUGGACAAAGGGCGAAAGCCUGAUCCAGCCAUGCCGCGUGUGUGAAGAAGGUCUUCGGAUUGUAAAGCACUUUAAGUUGGGAGGAAGGGCAGUAAGCUAAUACCUUGCUGUUUUGACGGUACCAACAGAAUAAGCACCGGCUAACUUCGUG